GAUUCACUGUUCAUAUUUUGCUUCCUUGUUACGUAACUCUGAAAAGCUUCGUUCCUUCUUCAAUGGCUGCUUUACAAUCCCAAGCUAGCGAUUCCUUUAGUUUUGACGACUUUCAGGAACUUCUGAGUCGUUCAUACGUAACCCCAAGUUUUCUUGCGCCCGCUGAUGUUGGACGUAAUGAGUUUUACUUGGGUCCUUUCUUCAACAAUGCGGAAGCAAUCGAUCAGGCGAGGUGGGCCAGCUGUUUC
rnacentral:lncRNA from 1 species